CUCAACUCUAGGCUUAGUACUCUGUGCUACCUAACUGCCCUCAGUAGGCUUUGCUAUUGAUACUUCCCACUGCCAGAGACUGGUGGUAUGUGUGAAGAAGGUCCAGAGGCCAGCAGCACAUGUAGCAAAACCUAUAGGAGAGAAUGGAGAAGGAAAGAGGGGGACCACCUGGGACUUAAGUAUUACUUGUGGGGAGGAAGAGCUGAUCUCUGGACAUUAGGCAAGAGUGGGACACAGCUCUGCAGUCAAAGGAUUGGCAGUGAUUAUUCCAAUGACUAGUGAUUUGAGUGGUGUUUUUAUAAGACUCUUCUAGGGAUUUUCCCCAACCAUUUGGAUGGAGAUGAGGCAUUCUUCCAUAGAAUUGAGUUUACCUUUAGAUGUAGGAUAGGUGAAAGGCCACCUGAUAUUCUAAUUCUGAACCAUCUUUACAGUGAUUGGCUUAUGCCAAGGGACAUUGUAAGAGGUGGUCACUUGGAAGUAUGUUAAGGAGGCCAAAGCUUGUGGGGUUCAAAAAGCAAGCUAGUAAAUUUCCACAGAAAACCAGUAUAAGUCAAAGUUACAAUGAAUUCUGGAUUACAAAUGGAGUCUAAGGAAGAUCAAAGGAUCAAACUGGCUGCCAACUACCAUUACAAAUAUAAACAUUUUGGGGACAGCUAAGUGGCUCAGUAAAUAGAGAGCCAAGCCUAGAAAUGAGAAAUCCUGAGUUCAAAUUUGACUUCAGAUACUACUUAGUUGUAUGACCUUUGGGAAAGUAGAUCCUGCUCUCUCACCUCCUGCUUGGGAGACUUCAGAGCCAAGUCCUGAAAGAACACAACUGGGGUGUGCCUCUGCUUUUUCCAGGUUUGACCUGGCUAGAACACAGUCCUGCAGGGGUGGAGGGGAUAUGAUCGAGGAGAGACUGAAUGAACACCCUACUACGGAAACCAACAGCAAGGAAAUGGGCUCCGGUUGAGGACGCAUGUGACACCCAGAGGAAUCACACAUUCCCAAUGGGAGGGGUGUGGGGGAGGGGGAGAAAAAAAAGUGAUCUUUGUUUCUAAUGAAUAAUGUUUGAAAAUGACCAAAUAAAAUAAUGUUUAAAAUUAAAAAAAAAAACUAG
rnacentral:lncRNA from 1 species